rnacentral:rRNA from 1 species
UUUUAUGAGAGUUUGAUCCUGGCUCAGGACGAACGCUGGCGGCGUGCCUAAUACAUGCAAGUCGAACGCUUCUUUUUCCACCGGAGCUUGCUCCACCGGAAAAAGAGGAGUGGCGAACGGGUGAGUAACACGUGGGUAACCUGCCCAUCAGAAGGGGAUAACACUUGGAAACAGGUGCUAAUACCGUAUAACAAUCAAAACCGCAUGGUUUUGAUUUGAAAGGCGCUUUCGGGUGUCGCUGAUGGAUGGACCCGCGGUGCAUUAGCUAGUUGGUGAGGUAACGGCUCACCAAGGCCACGAUGCAUAGCCGACCUGAGAGGGUGAUCGGCCACAUUGGGACUGAGACACGGCCCAAACUCCUACGGGAGGCAGCAGUAGGGAAUCUUCGGCAAUGGACGAAA